GACGAACGCUGGCGGCGUGCUUAACACAUGCAAGUCGAACGGAGAUUUUAGCAAUAGAAUCUUAGUGGCGAACGGGCGAGUAACGCGUAGGCAAUCUGCCUUCUAGAUGGGGACAACAUCCCGAAAGGGGUGCUAAUACCGAAUGUUGUACCGUUUCCGCAUGGAGAUGAUACUAAAGGUGGCCUCUGAAUAUGCUACCGCUAGAAGAUGAGCCUGCGUCUGAUUAGCUAGUUGGAGGGGUAACGGCCCACCAAGGCUUCGAUCAGUAGCCGGUCUGGGAGGAUGAACGGCCACACUGGGACUGAGACACGGCCCAGACUCCUACGGGAGGCAGCAGUGGGGAAUCUUCCGAAAUGGACGAAAGUCUGACGGAGCAACGCCGCGUGAGUGAAGAAGGUUUUCGGAUCGUAAAGCUCUUUCGUUAGGGACGAACGUGCUCUUUGUGAAUAAUGAGGAGUAAUGACGGUACCUAAAUAAGAAGCCACGGCUAACUACGUGCCAGCCGCCGCGGUAA
rnacentral:rRNA from 1 species